CAAGCAAGCCAAGGACCAUAUGUUUUUUGUGUUACACUUUCAGCAUCUAAGCUUAUUAUAUUCAACACAAGGAGAAAGUCCCCGGAAAACAAAAUAUCUUCUGUCCAAUGAUUAAAGAUUAGGGCAGUGGGUAUUUAGUAAAGCAACUUUGUUUGUUUGUUUUUUCAUAAUAAAAGUAAUAUGGUCACCUAUAAUAAUGGGGCAACUUAAUGGGGCUUACUCUGGCUUGUUG
rnacentral:RNase_MRP_RNA from 2 species